GGGCGGAGACCUGGAGUGUAUAAAAGGAGCUGCGUGCCCAGCACAAGGGGCAGAUGCAUCGGGACAGAGAAGAGAGAAGAGCUGGGGUUAGAAGAGCGGAGGAGAGCUACACAGCAGGGUGAAGCAGUAGCCCAGGAAGAGCCCCUGAAGACUUCUAUCAGCAGGGAGUGUGGCACGGCUCCAGUGGUUAGGCUCUCGGUGCGCAGCACGGCAUCCAGACCUUGGGAGCUGUGGGAGGUGGCUUGGGCCUACAGGUGCUGACGGGCCAGCAGCUCAGUGCAGAUGAAGCUGCCCAGAGGGUCCAGGAACAGACUGAGCCCCAGUGCUGCAUAAGGCUGUCCAGGCCUCCAAUCCCUAGCACAAGGCAAAGCACCCACUACACACAGCGGUGCGUGUGGCCCUAAGCAAGGACGGCGGCAGCAGAGUCAGGUGGCAGGAAAACCCGAUGGGGAACCAAACUUAACCUGGAGAAACAAGAAGCAACCCCCCAGGACUGUGGAGUAUGUGGCUCUGUGAUUCUCAAGUUGUUCCUUGUUUCUGGAACAAAUUCCAUGUUUUGCAGACAGCUUGCUACACCCUCUCUUGUUGAGCAGAGAUCUGCUCUGGGCUAUGUUCUGCUUCCUGGGAACAGCUGUCACAAGUGGUGUUAGAAACAUUCUUCUUUCAAAGCAAUUCUUACUAAAGGAUGAUCCUUGAAAACAGGAUUGCUGUUCUCAGGCAACAAAAUGUUAAAAAUCCAUUUGAAUGGGAAAUCGCGGAACACAAGAAAUCAUCCACAGAUUGGAUCUUAUGGAUUAUGGAUUCUUACCCUAUUGCCAGCAAAAAACCUGAAGAACCAGAAAAAUCCUGAGGAGUGGUGAAACUAACAGAACUAAGAUUAACUGUUUCUAAAUAAAAAUAGUAGCCUCUCUCCAAUGUCUUGGUGCUUCUGUCGCGUUACCAUUUUGUUGACUUCUGUGACACACUUGAAUGUUGUAGAACUAAAGCAUGCUUUUCUUAAUGGUCUGGGGGCUUGCUGAGAAAUUGGUUUGUUAUGGUUACU